GCGGCGAACGGGUGAGUAACACGUGAGCAACCUGCCCCAGGCUUUGGGAUAACCCCGGGAAACCGGGGCUAAUACCGAAUAUGACCUCUGACCGCAUGGUUGGUGGUGGAAAGUUUUUCGGCUUGGGAUGGGCUCGCGGCCUAUCAGCUUGUUGGUGGGGUGAUGGCCUACCAAGGCGACGACGGGUAGCCGGCCUGAGAGGGCGACCGGCCACACUGGGACUGAGACACGGCCCAGACUCCUACGGGAGGCAGCAGUGGGGAAUAUUGCACAAUGGGCGGAAGCCUGAUGCAGCGACGCCGCGUGAGGGAUGACGGCCUUCGGGUUGUAAACCUCUUUCAGCAGGGACGAAGCGUAAGUGACGGUACCUGCAGAAGAAGCGCCGGCCAACUACGUGCCAGCAGCCGCGGUAAGACGUAGGGCGCGAGCGUUGUCCGGAUUUAUUGGGCGUAAAGAGCUCGUAGGCGGCUUGUCGCGUCGACCGUGAAAACCUGGGGCUCAACCCCAAGCCUGCGGUCGAUACGGGCAGGCUAGAGUUCGGUAGGGGAGACUGGAAUUCCUGGUGUAGCGGUGAAAUGCGCAGAUAUCAGGAGGAACACCGGUGGCGAAGGCGGGUCUCUGGGCCGAUACUGACGCUGAGGAGCGAAAGCGUGGGGAGCGAACAGGAUUAGAUACCCUGG
rnacentral:rRNA from 1 species